UACGAAGGGGGCAAGCGUUGUCCGGAAUCACUGGGCUUAAAGGGCGCGUAGGUGGUCGGGUAAGUCUUGGGUGAAAUCUCUGGGCUUAACCCAGAGGCUGCUUCCGAAACUGCUGUGCUUGAGUGUGGGAGAGGCGCGUGGAAUUGCAGGUGUAGCGGUGAAAUGCGUAGAUAUCUGCAGGAACACCCGUGGCGAAAGCGGCGCGCUGGAUCACUACUGACGCUGAGGAACGAAAGCUAGGGGAGCAAACAGG
rnacentral:rRNA from 1 species